AUAUACCUACCUAAAUUUCAUCCGUUUAGCAUUCGGCGUUUAACGUUUAUCAACAAUAUCAGAUAUUAUAUGCAUUGUACACAUACACAAUGGUUUCCCGCUAAAUAAGGCUUAUUAAAUUUUGGUGCGUCGUAUAAUGAGAUGUUACAGCCAGGAGCUUUACUCGGGGAUAACCACGCCUUAGCGUUCUAAUAAAAGGAUCGCAAG